UUGAUUUUCGCCGUGCCAUGUCCAUGUGGUAUAACUAGGACAAANACCGUUUAGUGCCAAGUGAGAAUACAUGUCUUCAUAUGUUACUGAUGUCCGAUUGAGACAUUUGUUGCACGGACAUAUGUGAAUAACUUUGUCUGGAGGACUAUGUAGACGCACGAACUCAAGAAAAUCAAAAAUGCCACUCAUAUAAACUGGGCACCCCUUCCCUAAUUGCAUCCGGCUCUUGUCCAUGUUGUACACUAUAAUAACAAGAAACAAAAAGAUAUAAUCAAAAAAUUGUGAAUAAAAUAAAGCAAGGGAAAUAUAUAUAUAUAUACACACACACACACUUUGUUGGGAAAAUAGACAUUUACUAAAAAAACAAAAAUUUUAAAGCCCAUUUCAAUGAAAAAACUUUUGAGUAACCCAUAUUAAUGUUUUAACACAUCUAACAAUUAAUAUUAUACCCUUGUGAUAUUAAUUAAUUACAUGUUCUCUCUCAUGUAAAAAAAAAAAAAUUACCACGUUCUCCCAGACUCCCACUCUCCACGAUCAACCGAACUCUCACCUUUGCCACUCUCUCUAUCACUCUCUAACACUUGAUAACGAUCUCUGGUUUAGGGUUCUUCACGAUCUCCGUGAUUCCAUCGAUCAGGCCACGUCGCUCUCUCGUUAAAUAUCUGUCGACUCCGUCGCUCUCCGCAUGCAGAUAAAUCCCAGUUGAGCAGGAAAUCGCUCUCUGCCCUAAUCUCAGUUGAUCGAAGUUGAUAUGUGGUUCAAUCUUGGCGUUGCUGUCACGUUCAAUCGCUCAUGCUCGGCGUCACUCUCUGGUUGAAUAUCGGCGUCGAUAUCUGCUUCAAUUGCUCUAACUCGACCUCGCUCGGGAAAACCAUAAAAACAGGUACAUUUUGAAUUUUAUUGAAUUUAGGCUUAUUUUGGACUUUUCUGAUGAUAUUGAAGUUUCAUUCUAGGGAUUAAAGGCCAUGAAUAUGAAAACAUGAAAAUUAUAGGGUUUCUCUGGUCAUAACUGUUACAGAUUGAGAUUAAUUUUAUUUAAGAUUUUCUUUCAAAGAUUUACUGUGUAUAAUUGGCAUGACAAUGAAAGGGAGAUACUGUUUUGUUGUUUACUCUUGUCAAGUAGAAGUUUACUGGGGGGCAGUAAACUUCCACUGUGUCCGGACCUACCCCGGAUUUCCCCUUGAAAUCCGGAAUAAACCCUGCGGGACCCACCUCAAGGGAAAUUCUACCAAAAUUUUGGCAUAACCUCUCUUGAAAAUGAGUAACCCUACCUGAAAGAAAAAUCAUCAAAGCCCAUACACUUCUAAAACAAUUUAAUCCACAUCUUCUGGAGCCAUCUGCUCCCCCAAUAAACAUCCACCACCUCAACUCACAUAAUAAAUCGAAAUAAUUUCAUGAAUUUAAUCUCUCAUAUAACAUGCCAAAUAAACAUUUUUCAACACUCCUAGGUGGAGUCACAAGCUCUUAACACACCACAAGAACAACAACAACCACAUUUAAAACAUCCCAAGGUUAUUCAGAACAUCUACUAGGAAAGAAGGAAAUACAUAGGUAAGUUAACUAGUAAUCUAUGAGAGAAACUGGAUGAGGUGGGAAAUAUGACACGCCUCCUACUCUCGCCGAACAGAGCUCUACAGACUGGGCAUUAAAACGAAAGGCCCAGGGGAAAGCUAUUUAAAACGUUAGAGUGAGUGGACAAAAUAAAUAAUAAAAAUACGGACUUAAU
rnacentral:lncRNA from 1 species